GAUGAACGCUGGCGGCGUGCUUAACACAUGCAAGUCGAACGGUGAAAGAGAGCUUGCUCUCUGGAUCAGUGGCGAACGGGUGAGUAACACGUGAGCAAUCUGCCCCUGACUCUGGGAUAAGCGCUGGAAACGGCGUCUAAUACCGGAUACGAGCUGCGAAGGCAUCUUCAGCAGCUGGAAAGAACUUCGGUCAGGGAUGAGCUCGCGGCCUAUCAGCUAGUUGGUGAGGUAACGGCUCACCAAGGCGUCGACGGGUAGCCGGCCUGAGAGGGUGACCGGCCACACUGGGACUGAGACACGGCCCAGACUCCUACGGGAGGCAGCAGUGGGGAAUAUUGCACAAUGGGCGAAAGCCUGAUGCAGCAACGCCGCGUGUGGGACGACGGCCUUCGGGUUGUAAACCUCUUUUAGCAGGGAAGAAGCGAAAGUGACGGUACCUGCAGAAAAAGCACCGGCUAACUACGUG
rnacentral:rRNA from 1 species